GAUGAACGCUAGCUACAGGCUUAACACAUGCAAGUCGAGGGGAAACGACAUCGAAAGCUUGCUUUUGAUGGGCGUCGACCGGCGCACGGGUGAGUAACGCGUAUCCAACCUGCCCAUCACUUGGGAUUAACCUUGCGAAAGUAAGACUAAUACCCAAUGACAUCCCACGAAGACAUCUGAAUGGGAUUAAAGAUUUAUCGGUGAUGGAUGGGGAUGCGUCUGAUUAGCUUGUUGGCGGGGUAACGGCCCACCAAGGCAACGAUCAGUAGGGGUUCUGAGAGGAAGGUCCCCCACAUUGGAACUGAGACACGGUCCAAACUCCUACGGGAGGCAGCAGUGAGGAAUAUUGGUCAAUGGGCGAGAGCCUGAACCAGCCAAGUAGCGUGCAGGAUGACGGCCCUAUGGGUUGUAAACUGCUUUUAUAAGGGAAUAAAGUGGGUCUCGUGAGACUUUUUGCAUGUACCUUAUGAAUAAGGACCGGCUAAUUCCGUG
rnacentral:rRNA from 1 species